GACGAACGCUGGCGGCGUGCUUAACACAUGCAAGUCGAACGGCAAGGCCCUGCUUUUGUGGGGUGCUCGAGUGGCGAACGGGUGAGUAACACGUGAGUAACCUGCCCUUGACUUUGGGAUAACUUCAGGAAACUGGGGCUAAUACCGGAUCGGAGCUCCUGCUGCAUGGUGGGGGUUGGAAAGUUUCGGCGGUUGGGGAUGGACUCGCGGCUUAUCAGCUUGUUGGUGGGGUAGUGGCUUACCAAGGCUUUGACGGGUAGCCGGCCUGAGAGGGUGACCGGGCACAUUGGGACUGCGAUUCGGCCCAGACUCCUACGUGAGGCAGCAGUGGGGAAUAUUGCACAGUGGGCGGAAGCCUGAUGCAGCAACGCCGCGUGCGGGAUGACGGCCUUCGGGUUGUAAACCGCUUUCGCCUGUGACGAAGCGUGAGUGACGGUAAUGGGUAAAGAAGCACCGGCUAACUACGUG
rnacentral:rRNA from 1 species